CAAUACAGCCAUAUCACACUGCAACUCACACCUGGCUGCCCACUGAAACUCAGUAGGUGUAAGCCUGGUCAGUACCUGGAUGAGAGACUCCUGGGAAAAACUAAGGCUGCUGC
rnacentral:rRNA from 1 species